AAUAAAUUGGUAAUGUAAAACUAUUCUUCGCUGUAAAUUAAUUGUGUGCUCAAUUGCGACGCCCUGUGUUGAAUUUUCCCGCGAGUACAGUAUCAUUACUGAGGGGAAAUAUAACAUUAUUCAUUUAAUUCCACAAAAGGCCUGUAACGUACUGCAGCUUCCUGCAGGCAACGUGAAACAUUGCUGAGGGAGAACUUUAUUCACAACAAAAGGAUAAAGAUGAAGAGGCGGGACUUGAGCAGCUUGUGAUGGCUGUAAUUGUAAAGAAUGGAUUUUCUAGGAGUGGAAGCCCAAAGGAUGCUGGAAUUGUUAUUGAGGCCUUAAAGGUGUUCAAAGGGCAUGCUUUAUCCUCACUGGAUUGGAUUGGAUCUAUGCAUUGAAUCUCCAGUAUCCCAGGCAUCUUUUCAGGUGUUUCAGAAACUUUUCUUGGAGCUGGAUUCUUCAAAGUUUAUGAACUGAUUACAGUACAGUAAGUCUAAACUGCUGUCUGAUUUUCUGGGUGUGAAUCAAUGUAACAGAACACAAACAUGGACCCUUUCGUCGGGAAAUGUGGACGGUUUUCUUUAAAGACUGUAAAAUACUUUUUGAAGUUUACACUGUUACAAAUACAUCAUUAAAAUGAGAUGCUUUCCUGUUCU